AUUUCUUUGGAGACAUCCAAUAAAAUUGGAACGAUACAGAGAAGAUUAGCAUGACCCUUGUGUUGAAAGAUGACAUGCACAAAUCAAAAAAUGGUCCAAAUGUUU
rnacentral:snRNA from 1 species